CAUAUGCAAAAGGAAAAAAAGAAAGAAGACCAGACAACUCUUGAAGAAAUAAGAAAUGUCUGACAUGUAGUACAAGGGAGAACAACUGCCGACUUUUUUUUGUUACUAAUAAUGUCAUAUCAUCGUAUUAUUUUUCACUGCUCGAUCUUCUCAUCAUCUUUGUCAGGUGGGUGGAGUUUUUCAUAAGUAAACUACAGGUAGACCUCCAUGGAUGAGUUAUGAGCCACUGUAUUGCUUGUCACUUUAUCCAGCAACCGUCACUUUCUUUGUCGUAGACAUUAUUAUUAUGUAGCAGAAAGCACUGCUAUUCUUCGUAAUAACAAUACAGCUGCUACAUUUUCAGUUGUAACUCAC
rnacentral:ribozyme from 14 species